AUUGAACGCUGGCGGCAGGCUUAACACAUGCAAGUCGAGCGGAGAUGAGGUGCUUGCACCUUAUCUUAGCGGCGGACGGGUGAGUAAUGCUUAGGAAUCUGCCUAUUAGUGGGGGACAACAUUCCGAAAGGAAUGCUAAUACCGCAUACGUCCUACGGGAGAAAGCAGGGGAUCUUCGGACCUUGCGCUAAUAGAUGAGCCUAAGUCGGAUUAGCUAGUUGGUGGGGUAAAGGCCUACCAAGGCGACGAUCUGUAGCGGGUCUGAGAGGAUGAUCCGCCACACUGGGACUAGGACACGGCCCAGACUCCUACGGGAGGCAGCAGUGGGGAAUAUUGGACAAUGGGGGGAACCCUGAUCCAGCCAUGCCGCGUGUGUGAAGAAGGCCUUAUGGUUGUAAAGCACUUUAAGCGAGGAGGAGGCUACUGAGACUAAUACUCUUGUAUAGUGGACGUUACUCGCAGAAUAAGCACCGGCUAACUCUGUGCCAGCCGCCGCCGUAAAAC
rnacentral:rRNA from 1 species